rnacentral:rRNA from 1 species
GACACCAAGCCUCUGUAAAGCUCCUUCGACGAGUCGAGUAGUUUGGGAAUGCUGCUCUAAAUGGGAGGUAAAUUUCUUCUAAAGCUAAAUACUGGCCAGAGACCGAUAGCGCACAAGUAGAGUGAUCGAAAGAUGAAAAGUACUUUGAAAAGAGGGUUAAAUAGCACGUGAAAUUGUUGAAAGGGAAGCGUUUAUGACCAGACCUUCGCCGGGCGGAUCAUCCGGUGUUCUUCACCGGUGCACUUCGCCCGGCUUAGGCCAGCAUCGGUUUUUGCAGGGGGAUAAAGGCCCGGGGAAUGUGGCUCCCUCCGGGGAGUGUUAUAGCCCUGGGCGUAAUACCCUUGCGGGGACCGAGGUUCGCGCUCCGGCAAGGAUGCUGGCGUAAUGGUCAUCAACGACCCGUCUUGAAACACGGACCAAGGAGUCGAACAUUUAUGCGAGUGUUUGGGUGUUAAACCCUUGCGCGUAAUGAAAGUGAACGUAGGUGAGAGCCCGUAAGGGUGCAUCAUCGACCGAUCUUGAUGUUUUCGGAUGGAUUUGAGUAAGAGCAUAACUGUUCGGACCCGAAAGAUGGUGAACUAUGCGUGGAUAGGGUGAAGCCAGAGGAAACUCUGGUGGAGGCUCGCAGCGGUUCUGACGUGCAAAUCGAUCGUCAAAUCU